GAAUUUUAUAUAAAUUUUAAUUAUAGUUAGAAAGAAGAUUAUAGUUUAUAUUUGGUUGGGAGGAUCUUUAAAUUUGAUAAACUUUAAUAAUAAAAAACAUUAAUAUAUGAAUUAGAUUUAUUUGUAAAGUGAAUAAAAUUUUAUAGUUUUAUUGAAGAAUUAAUUACCUUAGGGAUAACAGCGUAAUAUUUUUAAAAAGAUCUUAUUGAUAAAAGUGAUUGC
rnacentral:rRNA from 1 species